UACGUAGGGUGCAAGCGUUAUUCGGAAUUACUGGGUGUAAAGGGAGUGUAGGCGGGAGAGUAAGUUAGGAGUGAAAUGUACGGGCUCAACCUGUAACGUGCUUUUAAUACUGCUUUUCUUGAGUAUUGGAGAGGUAAAUGGAAUUCCUGGUGUAGCGGUGGAAUGCGUAGAUAUCAGGAAGAACACCAGUUGCGAAGGCGGUUUACUGGCCAAAUACUGACGCUGAGGCUCGAAAGGUAGGGGAGCAAACAGGAUUAGAUACCCUGGUAGUCCUACCCGUAAACGAUGGAUACUAGUUGCCGGGAGUAAUUUCGGUGACGAAGCUAACGCAUUAAGUAUCCCACCUGGGAAGUACGCUCGCAAGAGUG
rnacentral:rRNA from 1 species